AAUAAAGGAACUUCUGCUAAGUUCAUGGACGUCCUGUUCCGGAUGCAGAAAUCAACACAUCCCGUGUA
rnacentral:sRNA from 1 species